UGCCAUAACUACCUGAUUGAACCCAACACAGUAGUAAAUUUGAAGCUUGCCCACUCGACCCAACCUGAAAAAUGGUGGAUUGGAUCAGGUUAUUCUACGGUGGGGACUGCAGCGAGGCACAAGUGUGCUACCAUGUAGCCUAAAGCCGGAACGGAUAAGGAAAAACAUAGAUAUCUUUAGUUGGUGUCUAUCAGAGGAAGAAUGGAACUGGUUGAACCAGAUUGAGCCUCAGGUAUGUUUAUUUGGAAAUGAACCUUUCAGUAGUCUCUCAGCCACUGGGUUCAUGUUUGGUAGUGGUCCUCUUCAAGCUGUGCGUGAGAUGGAAGAUGAUGUGGAAUCCAAUGCCUGAUUUUAAUACUUGUUUUUUUUCUAAAAGAUAAUAUAUCAUUUAUUUUCAAAUUGUGAUAAUGCUGAUUAUUAUAAUAUGUGGUAUGGUAUGCCCAUUGUUUGUAAGAUUUUGAUUUUGUGGAUGCUGAAUGGAAAGCCAAAUUUUACAUUA